UCCAGCUCCUUCUGGACUAAAGAAAGAAUUUACAACACUUCCAAAGAAUAUGACUUUUAUCAUUAUGUGGAUGGCUCCAAAAAGCAGGGAAAAAUUCCAGCCUGGAGAAGAGCAGGGGAAACAGCACCAAGAACUAACCCGGCAAGUCAGCACUCAAUAAGAGGCAUCUUUUGACUACCCCCACCUCAUACCUCAUACCUUAGAGAAGUCCAGCCUUUUCAAAUGAUUCCACCAGCUGACUGGACCAGAGGUGGACACCAUCCCAAACUGGAUCAGAUUCUCUACCCCAGAAAUUAGAUUUAGAGUGCUCUCAGACUCUAGUUGUCAAUGUACUAAAGACACAUACCUUGGGGAACCAAGGGUAAGCUCUCUUCUGCCAAAUGCAUGGGGAUGUGUUGAAAAAGGAAAAAAUCUUUGUGCAGAGACGAAAGGUGCAAGUUGAUUUCGUAAAUGUCAAGAGAGAAGGAGGUAGGUAGGCUGGACUAUUUUCUAGUUCCUGGUUACAACCAUACUUGAAGGCUUUAACUGCACUUCCUAUCCCUGAAGUACCAUAAGAAAGAGCCUUGAAUCUUAAUCACAAAUUCCAUUUCUACAGUCAUUUUCUAUGAGACAGUGCAUGAAACACUCCAGCACCUUACACUACCUUUCAAUUAGCUAGCUCCAAGUUGUUCUUCAGGUCCCAACUUAAACACCACUUCUUCCAGGAAAUCUUCCCAGACAAUUCAAAACAUUUUAGCUCCGCCUUUUAUACUCCCCGGUGGCACUGUGCACCUCAUCAUACUCGGUAAGUGUUAUUCCUUUCCUGUGGGACUAUAAACACCACAGAGUAAAACCACCUCUUCUGUUCAACACUCUGAUCCUAUUGCCUAGCACAUUGGCCAGGUACACACUUAAUAACAUCAUGAAGUGAAUGGAAAUCAAGAAACUGGUAGACGUAGGCAGAAAGGGUGAGAAGAAAUCAACACUAACCUCCUGAUAAAAAGUUUGACCCUACCUCCCUCAUCCUUUCCAAGUAUCCAGUUUUUCCCUUUUCUACCUCCCUACAGCCCCAAGUUAGCUCUGACAAUUACCAUUUUAUACUUUGGUGCCAAUGCAUUCAGGAACCAGGGCUGUAGGAAGUAUGUUUCCAGAUAGCUUGGUAUAACAGAGUAAAACCUAUCAAAAAAAAAAAAAAAA